GAUUUCAACUGAAAAAGUCAUCAACAACAAAGUUGUAUAACUCAUCAAUAUCUAUAACUUUUAUUUUUGUCAUUUCUUCAUCCGAGUAAGUGAUAGUAAUAUUGUUCACAAAAUUUAUACUUCUCUCUUAUAAUUUUUGAAACCAUAUGGGAGAUAUGUAAAAUUUAUGAACAAUAUUAAAAUCGUUUUAUCGGAUGAACAAAUGACCAAAAUAAAAAUUGUAGAUCUAGAUAGAUUAUACAACUUUGUUAUUGAUAACUUUUUCAGUUGAAGUC
rnacentral:pre_miRNA from 1 species